rnacentral:rRNA from 13 species
UUGAGGCAAUAACAGGUCUGUGAUGCCCUUAGAUGUUCUGGGCCGCACGCGCGCUACACUGACAGAGCCAACGAGUUCAUUUCCUUGCCCGGAAGGGUUGGGUAAUCUUGUUAAACUCUGUCGUGCUGGGGAUAGAGCAUUGUAAUUAUUGCUCUUCAACGAGGAAUCCCUAGUAAGCGCAAGUCAUCAACUUGCGCUGA